rfam:TPA: Bos taurus chromosome 15, whole genome shotgun sequence.
UUCCUGGUGGUCCAGUGGUUAGGACUCAGUUCUUUCACUGCUUCAGGCCCAGGUUCAAUCCCUGGUCAGGGAA